rnacentral:rRNA from 1 species
UACGGAGGGGGCUAGCGUUGUUCGGAAUUACUGGGCGUAAAGCGCACGUAGGCGGCUUUGUAAGUUAGAGGUGAAAGCCUGGAGCUCAACUCCAGAACUGCCUUUAAGACUGCAUCGCUUGAAUCCAGGAGAGGUGAGUGGAAGUUCCGAGUGUAGAGGUGAAAUUCGUAGAUAUUGGGGAAGAACACCGAUGGCGAAGGCAGCCAUCUGGACCGGCACUGAACGCGUGAGGCGGCGAAAAGCGUGGGGAGCAACAGG